CUGAGAUCCUGCACAGCAGGCAGACCGGCCGCGGUGCCACCCAGCCCUGCAGUGUCCCACUGCUGCUUUAACCAUUUGUAGCUUGCUUCGGGGAGCUGCUCUGGUGUAAAUAACGCCUUGGCAGGUGUUAUUUAUCUAAAUUGUCACAGGAUCCAGAGUGCCCCUCUUGCUCAUGGCUAAGGGUGGCUGUUGAAGGUAGGGAUGGGCGCUCGUGUUCUUGAUUAACCUCUGUCUCCUUCUGUCACAGUUUGAAAAGAUGGAUUUGGAUUCACCGGGGUUUGUUCUCAAGGAAGAAUGAAAAAGGGAGUUGAAAAGAAAGGAAAAUAAAAGAAAUGAAAAUGACGAGUUAAAAGAGAAAAGUCCUACAGCAAAGAAUUGAAGGAAAGGCCUCAGCCAAGCUUUGCCAGCCCAGAAUGGCGUCUUACAGCAUUCCCUGCACCCGUGCCUCAGUCUGCCUUGCCAGCCCAAGUCCAGCCUCAGCCUGGAUCUGUCCGUGCUAGUGAAGGUGAGUCUGUGAUGUUUCGGGCCUCUUGCACUCAAUGGUGCAUUGAAGCACAUCAGGAAAGGAUAAGGUCAGGUAUUUCCUUUGGGCUGGGUGCCCGGUAGCUUUGGAGCAGGAGAGGAAGAGAGUUUCCAAGGCCCCUUCAGAAAGCAGGGCCAGUGCUGCUCUGGCAUGGCAGGAGGAGAGAGUUCCCCUGCCAAGUCCCCUCUGGACCCCUGAUCAAACACAUUGGGGCACCCCUUUGUGCUAACAGAUGAAACUGCUCCUCUCAUGAACUUGGGUACUCAAUGCCAAGUUUAGAUACAGUCUAGACGCAGUGGUGUAUUUAUAACCUUGGCACAUGACGUGGCAGGCAGUGGGGUAUAAACAGCAUUCAGACACGAUGAGAAGCGAAGUUAUUUAUACAUCAGCGUGCUGAAUGUAGGGUACCACAGACCCAAGGGCAGAGGUCACAACUGACUGGAGAUAGGAAGAAGUUAUCCAAACGGUGGGAGUAGUGUUUUUGGGAAUGGUACAUAACAGGAGUUGAGAUUGCUGUCUAACCCCAUACAUAUACUCUAGCAAGGCACAGACUGACUACAGCUCACUGAUAACUUUGAGCUGCAGUAGGUUUUUCUUAAAGAAUAAAUCCUGUUGCUGUAAGAGAUUAAAAGAAUGA
rnacentral:lncRNA from 1 species